GAUGGAUUGGUGCCUUCGGGAACUGUGAGACAGGUGCUGCAUGGCUGUCGUCAGCUCGUGUUGUGAAAUGUUGGGUUAAGUCCCGCAACGAGCGCAACCCUUAUCCUUUGUUGCCAGCGGUCCGGCCGGGAACUCAAAGGAGACUGCCAGUGAUAAACUGGAGGAAGGUGGGGAUGACGUCAAGUCAUCAUGGCCCUUACGACCAGGGCUACACACGUGCUACAAUGGCGCAUACAAAGAGAAGCGACCUCGCGAGAGCAAGCGGACCUCAUAAAGUGCGUCGUAGUCCGGAUUGGAGUCUGCAACUCGACUCCAUGAAGUCGGAAUCGCUAGUAAUCGUGGAUCAGAAUGCCACGGUGAAUACGUUCCCGGGCCUUGUACACACCGCCCGUCACACCAUGGGAGUGGGUUGCAAAAGAAGUAGGUAGCUUAACCUUCGGGAGGGCGCUUACCACUUUGUGAUUCAUGACUGGGGUGAAGUCGUAACAAGGUAACCGUAGGGGAACCUGCGGUUGGAUCAC
rnacentral:rRNA from 1 species